rnacentral:rRNA from 1 species
UACGUAGGGGGCAAGCGUUGUCCGGAAUCAUUGGGCGUAAAGAGCGCGUAGGCGGUCCGGUAAGUCCGCUCUGAAAGUCCGGGGCUCAACCCCGGGAGGCGGGCGGAUACUGCCGGGCUAGAGUCCGGAAGAGGCGAGUGGAAUUCCUGGUGUAGCGGUGAAAUGCGCAGAUAUCAGGAGGAACACCGAUGGCGAAGGCAGCUCGCUGGGACGUUACUGACGCUGAGACGCGAAAGCGUGGGGAGCAAACAGG